rnacentral:lncRNA from 1 species
AGGUUUUCUAACUCUGUGAUUCCUUCUGCAUUUAUUAAAUGACAUUCCAUUGAAAAGAGAUUUUCAUUCCUGCUUCCCCCACCCCUUGCUUUUCCUCUUUGCUUUUCUUUAGUAUGAAUUUAAGAAAGUGAUACAUUCCCUCAAGUUUAGCCCAAGUUCAUCUCUCUUGGACCAUGGAAUACCUCACCAGUCACUGAAAGCCUCAUGUCUUUUGACUGUCGGAGA